rnacentral:rRNA from 1 species
UACGGAGGAUGCGAGUGUUAUCCGGAUUCAUUGGGUUUAAAGGGUGCGUAGGCGGAAUAUUAAGUCAGCGAUGAAAUCCUGCAGCUUAACUGUAGAACUGUCAUUGAUACUGGUAUUCUUGAAUGCAGUUGAGGUAGGCGGAAUGUGUAAUGUAGCGGUGAAAUGCUUAGAUAUUACACAGAACACCGAUUGCGAAGGCAGCUUACUAAACUGUGAUUGACGCUGAGGCACGAAAGCGUGGGGAGCAAACAGG